AUUGAACGCUGGCGGCAGGCCUAACACAUGCAAGUCGAGCGUGCGGCGGACGGGUGAGUAAUGUAUGGGGACUGCCCGCUAGAGGGGGAUAACUACUGGAAACGGUGGCUAAUAACGCAUACUAUAGGAUAACCCAUAUGGGAUUAGCUAGUAGGUGGGGUAAAGGCUCACCUAGGCGACGAUCUCUAGCUGGUCUGAGCGGAUGAUCAGCCCACCUGGGACUUGGGCGCGGCCCAGAUUCCUACGGAGCCAGCAGUGGUGAAGUUGGCAGUAUGUGCCGAAGCCUGGUGCAGCCAUGCCGCGUGGAUGAAGAAGGCCUUAGGGUUGUAAGUUACGAUCAGCGGUGAGGCGUUUGCCGCAGAAGAAGCACCGGCUAACUCCGUGCCAGCAGCCGCGGUAAUUC
rnacentral:rRNA from 1 species